rnacentral:lncRNA from 1 species
CCGAGCCUGAGGCGCCGCGUGAGAGCCGGGCUGCUGCGGGGAGAGUGAGGCCGGGGCGCGGAGGGGGGCGGGGCCGCCUUGCCGUCACUCCUCCUCAGGCCCUAGCUGUAGCGCCCUUCUCCUCACCCCCGCCCCUCCUCCGCUCCCUGUCGGGUCUGCGGCACCUCUGCGCAGUGGGACCCGGCGGUCUCCGUCGGCCUCUCUCUGGGAGCGGCGUUGCGUUCCAAUGUGGAAUGAAGUUUGCUGGGGUCUCUCCGAAGGACCUGAAUUUAUAUUUGGAACUGAUAAAGAUCCUGAGCAGUGGGAAAUGUCCACAAAGUAGUUGCCAGUGGCUAAGAGAUGAUUAAAAAGAAAGGAUAUACUUCUUGGCAUGUAACCCUAUCUGUAGCUGAUUUAAUGGAAAGUAUUUUGAAGAACCUUAGGAGAGUACAUCCAGUUUCUACUGUAAGUAAGGUAGGAUGUUUAUGUUUGAAAAACCAUUUAACAUUAACAUAAAAUAGGGAUAAAAGAACAUUUGUGAGGAACAAUUACUUUUUGAGGUUGAUCUUGUGUCUUUUCCUAAAACCUAUUCUUUGUUGCUGCUAAAAUAGAGAAAGGGGUGGUGGUGGUGGUAGAGGGGCUUAUCUUUGUAGACCUUUGUCCUGGUAUUUAUUUCAUUCAAUUACAUAAAAGUUUAACUCUACAAAUAUCUGAUAAUAUUGGGAACCAUUGAGGGUAGAUCUUGCUCCAUUUUGAGUUGUUCCCUAAGAGUUCCAAUUAUGUCCAAUGGAGAGACCUAAGAAAGAAUCGCUAGUUACAAAAGUACUCCAAGUCUCCUGGAGAAGGGGAAGUUGAGGCCUGACGUAAAACUCUGAAUGUGACAGGUUAAAGCCAAAUGGACUCAUAUCAUUGGGAAUAAAGUAACUGAAAUUUUGAAGUGAUUCCCUGAU